AGAAGAAUGAAACAUUUCCACAGGCGACAACAUCUUAUCAUGCUUCUUGUUCAUCUUCUUCUCUUGUUUCUCUUUCUUCUUCUCUUGUUUUAUC
rnacentral:ribozyme from 13 species